rnacentral:rRNA from 1 species
GAUGAACGCUAGCGGCAGGCCUAAUACAUGCAAGUCGAACGGUGUCUUCGGACAUAGUGGCGCACGGGUGCGUAACACGUAUGCAACCUACCUUACAUUGGGGGAUAGCCUUUCGAAAGGGAGAUUAAUACCGCAUAAGACAGUAGCUGGGCAUCCAGCAGCUGUUAAAGAUUUAUCGAUGUAAGCUGGGCAUGCGUCCAAUUAGCUAGUUGGUGAGGUAACGGCUCACCAAGGCAAUGAUUGGUAGGGGAACUGAGAGGUCAAUCCCCCACACUGGCACUGAGAUACGGGCCAGACUCCUACGUGAGGCAGCAGUAGGGAAUAUUGGGCAAUGGACGCAAGUCUGACUCAGCCAUGCCGCGUGCAGGAUGAAGGCGUUAUGCGUUGUAAACUGCUUUUAUACAGGAAGAAACGACUCUUGCGAGAGGCAUUGACGGUACUGUAUGAAUAAGCACCGGCUAACUCCGUGCCAGCAGCCGCCGCGGUAA